rnacentral:tRNA from 1 species
AGGUCAGUGGCUCAAUGGUAGAGCGUCGGUCUCCAAAACCGAAUGUUGUGGGUUCGAGUCCUACCUGACCUG